AAUACUAGUAAACUGGCGAACGGGUGAGUAACACGUAGGUAAUCUGCCCUAGAGAUUGGGAUAACCCCGGGAAACCGGAGCUAAUACCGAAUAAUGCAGCGGAUCCUUCGGGAUAUGUUGUUAAAGCGGGCACUUGUGCUCGCACUUUAGGAUGAGCCUGCGUCCGAUUAGCUUGUUGGUGGGGUAAUGGCCUACCAAGGCGACGAUCGGUAGCUGGUCUGAGAGGAUGAUCAGCCACACUGGGAUUGAGAUACGGCCCAGACUUCUACGGGAGGCAGCAGUUAGGAAUUUUGCGCAAUGGGCGAAAGCCUGACGCAGCAACGCCGCGUGAUCGAUGAAGCUUUUCGGAGUGUAAAGAUCUGUCGUGAGGGAAGAAUAACUUGGAUGCAAAUAGUUUUCAAGUCUGACGGUACCUCACAAGAAAGCACCGGCUAACUUCGUGCCAGCAGCCGCGGUAAUACGAGGGGUGCUAGCGUUGUCCGGAAUCAUUGGGCGUAAAGGGUCCGUAGGUGUCUUUGAAAGUCUUUUGUUACAUCCAUCGGCUUAACCGGUGGCCUGCAAUCGAAACUUCAAGGAUAGAGUUCGAGAGAGGAAAGUGGAAUUCCUGGUGUAGCGGUGACAUGCGUAGAUAUCAGGAGGAACACCAAUGG
rnacentral:rRNA from 1 species